rnacentral:rRNA from 1 species
AGUGAACGCUGGCGGCGUGCUUAACACAUGCAAGUCGAACGGCAGCACAGAAGAGCUUGCUCUUUGGGUGGCGAGUGGCGGACGGGUGAGUAACACGUAGGAAUCUACCCAGUAGUGGGGGAUAACCUGGGGAAACCCAGGCUAAUACCGCAUACGCCCUGAGGGGGAAAGCGGGGGAUCUUCGGACCUCGCGCUAUUGGAUGAGCCUGCGUCGGAUUAGCUAGUUGGUGGGGUAAGGGCCCACCAAGGCGACGAUCCGUAGCUGGUCUGAGAGGAUGACCAGUCACACCGGAACUGAGACACGGUCCGGACUCCUACGGGAGGCAGCAGUGGGGAAUUUUGGACAAUGGGCGCAAGCCUGAUCCAGCCAUGCCGCGUGAGUGAAGAAGGCCUCGGUUGUAAGACGUCUUUCGGUCC